rnacentral:rRNA from 1 species
CGGGUGAGUAACACGUAUGCAACCUACCCUGUACAGGGGGAUAACCCGGAGAAAUUCGGACUAAUAUCCCAUAAUGAUAUUUGAGGGCAUCCUUAGAUAUUUAAAGCUCAGGCGGUACGGGAUGGGCAUGCGGAACAUUAGCUAGUUGGGAGGGUAACGGCCUACCAAGGCAACGAUGUUUAGGGGACCUGAGAGGGUGAUCCCCCACACUGGUACUGAGACACGGACCAGACUCCUACGGGAGGCAGCAGUGAGGAAUAUUGGUCAAUGGGCGCAAGCCUGAACCAGCCAUCCCGCGUGCAGGAAGACGGCCCUAUGGGUUGUAAACUGCUUUUCCAGGGGGAGAAUUUUUCUGUCGUGACAGGAAUUGACGGUACCCUGGGAAUAAGCAUCGGCUAACUCCGUGCCAGCAGCCGCGGUAAUACGGAGGAUGCGAGCGUUAUCCGGAUUUAUUGGGUUUAAAGGGUGCGUAGGCGGAUAGAUAAGUCAGUGGUGAAAACCUGCAGCUUAACUGUAGACUUGCCGUUGAUACUGUCAGUCUUGAGUAUGGUCAAGGUAGGCGGAAUGUGUAAUGUAGCGGUGAAAUGCUUAGAUAUUACACAGAACACCGAUUGCGAAGGCAGCUUACUGGGCCAUUACUGACGCUGAUGCACGAAAGCGUGGGGAUCGAACAGGAUUAGAUACCCUGGUAGUCCACGCCGUAAACGAUGAUCACUCGCUGUUAGCGAUACACAGUUAGCGGCUAAGCAAAAGCCAUUAA